GGUUUCUAGGCUAGAGAAUUAGAGAUUUAACCUGCCCACUGAUUAAUUAAAGGGCCGCAGUAUUUUGACUGUGCAAAGGUAGCAUAAUCAUUAGUUUUUUAAUUGAAGGCUAGUAUGAAUGGUUGGACGAGAUAAAAUCUGUUUUAUAUUAAUAUAUUGAAUUUAUAUUUUAAGUAAAAAGACUUAAAUAUUGUUAAGGGACGAGAAGACCCUAUAGAGUUUAAUAAGUAAUUUUUUUUAAUUAAGUUUUUAAAAAGUUUAGAUUAUUAUAAGUCUUAUUUAAUUGGGGUGAUGAGAAAAUAAGAAGAACUUUUCUUUAAAAUAAAUAUUAAUUAAUAAUUAUUUGAUCCAUUAUUAGUGAUAAGAAGAUAAAAUUACCUUAGGGAUAACAGCAUAAUUUUUUUUAAGAGUUCUUAUCGAAAGGAAAGAUUAUGACCUCGAUGUUGGAUUAAGAUAAAUUUUGGGUGUAGAUGUUCAAGAAUUAGGUCUGUUCGACCUUUAAAAUCUUACA
rnacentral:rRNA from 2 species